AGAGUUUGAUCAUGGCUCAGAGCGAACGCUGGCGGCAGGCUUAACACAUGCAAGUCGAGCGGGCAUAGCAAUAUGUCAGCGGCAGACGGGGUGAGUAACGCGUGGGGAACGUACCUUUUUGGUUCGGAACAACACAGGGGAAACUUUGUGCUAUACCCGGAUAAGCCCUUACGGGGAAAGAUUUAUCGCCGAAAGAUCGGCCCGCGUCUGAUUAGCUAGUUGGUGAGGUAAUGGCUCACC
rnacentral:rRNA from 1 species